rnacentral:rRNA from 1 species
UACGUAGGGGGCGAGCGUUGUCCGGAUUUAUUGGGCGUAAAGAGCGUGUAGGCGGCCAGGUAGGUCCGUUGUGAAAACUCGAGGCUCAACCUCGAGACGUCGAUGGAAACCAUCUGGCUAGAGUCCGGAAGAGGAGAGUGGAAUUCCUGGUGUAGCGGUGAAAUGCGCAGAUAUCUGGAAGAACACCCGUGGCGAAGGCGGUUUCCUGGGACGGUACUGACGCUGAGACGCGAAAGCGUGGGGAGCGAACAGG